rnacentral:rRNA from 1 species
AGCGAACGCUGGCGGCAGGCUUAACACAUGCAAGUCGAGCGGGCAUCCUUGUGGUGUCAGCGGCAGACGGGUGAGUAACGCGUGGGAACGUGCCCUUCGGUUCGGAAUAACCCAGGGAAACUUGAGCUAAUACCGGAUACGUGCGAGAGCAGAAAGGUUUAUCUGCCGAAGGAUCGGCCCGCGUCUGAUUAGCUAGUUGGUGAGGUUAUGGCUCACCAAGGCGACGAUCAGUAGCUGGUCGGAGAGGAUGAUCAGCCACGCUGGAGCUGAGACACGGCCCAGACUCGUACGGGAGGGAGGAGUGGGGAAUAUUGGACAAUGGGGGCAACCCUGAUCCAGCCAUGCCGCGUGAGUGAUGACGGCCUUAGGAUUGUAAAGCUCUUUUCUCCGGGACGAUAGUGACGGUACCGGAGGAAUAAGCCCCGGCUAACUUCGUG